AGAUUGAACGCUGGCGGCAGGCCUAACACAUGCAAGUCGAGCGGCAGCACGGGUACUUGUACCUGGUGGCGAGCGGCGGACGGGUGAGUAAUGCCUAGGAAUCUGCCUGGUAGUGGGGGAUAACGCUCGGAAACGGACGCUAAUACCGCAUACGUCCUACGGGAGAAAGCAGGGGACCUUCGGGCCUUGCGCUAUCAGAUGAGCCUAGGUCGGAUUAGCUAGUUGGUGAGGUAAUGGCUCACCAAGGCGACGAUCCGUAACUGGUCUGAGAGGAUGAUCAGUCACACUGGAACUGAGACACGGUCCAGACUCCGUACGGGAGGCAGCAGUGGGGAAUAUUGGACAAUGGGACGAAAGCCUGAUCCAGCCAUCGCCGCGUGUGUGAAGAAGUCUUCGGAUUGAAGCAUUUAGUGGAGGAAGGCAGUACCUAAUACGUAUCUUGUUUGACGUUACCGA
rnacentral:rRNA from 1 species